CAUGGCUCAGGAUGAACGCUGGCGGCGUGCUUAACACAUGCAAGUCGAACGAUGAUGCCAGCUUGCUGGUGGAUUAGUGGCGAACGGGUGAGUAACACGUGAGUAACCUGCCCUUGACUCUGGGAUAAGCCUGGGAAACUGGGUCUAAUACCGGAUAUGACCUUCCAUCGCAUGGUGGUUGGUGGAAAGCUUUUGUGGUUUUGGAUGGACUCGCGGCCUAUCAGCUUGUUGGUGGGGUAAUGGUCUACCAAGGCGACGACGGGUAGCCGGCCUGAGAGGGUGACCGGCCACACUGGGACUGAGACACGGCCCAGACUCCUACGGGAGGCAGCAGUGGGGAAUAUUGCACAAUGGGCGCAAGCCUGAUGCAGCGACGCCGCGUGAGGGAUGACGGCCUUCGGGUUGUAAACCUCUUUCAGUAGGGAAGAAGCGUAAGUGACGGUACCUGCAGAAGAAGCGCCGGCUAACUACGUGCCAGCAGCCGCGGUAAUACGUAGGGCGCAAGCGUUAUCCGGAAUUAUUGGGCGUAAAGAGCUCGUAGGCGGUUUGUCGCGUCUGCCGUGAAAGUCCGGGGCUCAACUCCGGAUCUGCGGUGGGUACGGGCAGACUAGAGUGAUGUAGGGGAGACUGGAAUUCCUGGUGUAGCGGUGAAAUGCGCAGAU
rnacentral:rRNA from 1 species